rnacentral:rRNA from 1 species
GACGAACGCUGGCGGCGUGCCUAAUACAUGCAAGUAGAACGCACAGUUUAUACCGUAGCUUGCUACACCAUAGACUGUGAGUUGCGAACGGGUGAGUAACGCGUAGGUAACCUGCCUGGUAGCGGGGGAUAACUAUUGGAAACGAUAGCUAAUACCGCAUAAUAUUAAUUAUUGCAUGAUAAUUAAUUGAAAGGUGCAAUUGCACCACUACCAGAUGGACCUGCGUUGUAUUAGCUAGUAGGUGAGGUAACGGCUCACCUAGGCGACGAUACAUAGCCGACCUGAGAAGGUGGUCGGCCACACUGGGACUGAGACACGGCCCAGACUCCUACGGGAGGCAGCAGUAGGGAAUCUUCGGCAAUGGACGGAAGUCUGACCGAGCAACGCCGCGUGAGGGAAGAAGGGUUUCGGAUCGUAAAGCUCUGUUGUACGAGAAGAACGGGUGUGAGAGUGGAAAGUUCACACUGUGACGGUAUCUGAACAGAAAGGGACGGCUAACUACGUG